CUUUUCCAAACAACAUUACUUUACAACCUCACUUUUCUAAACCCUAGCCUCCCUCUCAUUCAACCUGUACUGGAUCCAUCAUCGUCUUCCCCAAAUGAUUCACCAAACAGAAAUUAUAUCGGUAUAUAUCACUCAUACUACCGGUAUCGUGAUGACAAGCCAUAAUUUGAACCGAUAUUGUUCCCUGGGUCUGGCGAUUGAUAUCUUCAAUCGAGUCACUGUUCGUUCGCUCUCUGGUUGUUUUCGUUUCUGUUUCGGCUGUGUUGUGUAGGCCGUAGAUCUGGCUUCUAUGGUUUCUGGAAUGUGAUUUACAUCUGGUUUCUAAAGACACAAAAUAUACUGGUACAUUGUUUUAAAAUGGUUGGUUUUUAGGAUUUUAGGGUGGUGUGUUUUGUAUCGAGAAGAUGGUAAUCUUGUGUUCUUUUUUAUUUCUUUUUAGUUUGUUUAUCUUAGGACUUGCAAUUACGCAUUUAUUUUAAAUAUUAUUCUUAAUGCGUUCAAGUGUAAACUGGUUUUGAAAAUGAUUGAGAAUUAAUGUUCAGUAAGAAUAGUCUUAAGAGUGGUUAGUGGGUGUUGAAUGAUUAAAGACUCCCGAUGUGUGGUAAAUCCAAGAUUUAAGGCCAAUUUUAUAUUGUUUGUUUGUUUGUCUCUGAAAUGGAGUUAAAAACUAUGUGCAAGGUUAGUGUUUUGAUCAUUAAGAAGGUGAAAAAUAUGAAUCAAUGAGUGAGCAAUGGUGGUGGCCAGAGUUCGUUGAGCUAUUUGUUUUGAUAGUGAUGAAGCACCAAAUCCAUCCCAAAAGGCUAAACAAUUUGCUCCAUCUGUAACACCAGUAACAAACAAUGUGACAGCUGCAAAAAUCGAUGUUACUAAGCACAUUCCUGUUAGUAUUCAUGGUCAGUACAGAAAGCUUAGCAACGGGAGAGAAUCAUGAUCUUCAAUCAUUCAUCUUAGUGGGCAAAUGUUCCUAACCCAAGAACCAUAGAAUCCAGUAGGGUUGUUCCCAUGUUUGUUGUGGGUGUCAAAAAGAGGGAAUACGCCUCAGAUCUUCACAUCAUUUUAAACACCAACUGGACCACCAACUGUUUUGCUCUUCUCACCAAGGUUUUUGUUUGCUAACAGUAACCAAAUCAUUGUUUUCUUACUUCAAAUUUGACUCACCUAAUACCAUGUGGGUGCAAGUUAUAAACUUUUGACUCACUUAAUACCAUGGGUUGAAGGUAAAUAUGACUAUUCAGAUAUCUAAGUCUUUCGAACACUUUUUGAUUCUUUUACCAUCAGAUCUGCUAAUUUUCUUCAUGCUUAAAAAAAUUGACAUUAUAUUUUUUUUUUGUGAUUUAUGGUUUCUUUCUUGCCGAUCAGUAUGUGUACUCGAAAUCCAUGAAAUUUGCUUUUUUUGGUUGCGAUUGACUUUUGUAAUAAUAACUUGUAGGCUGAUGAUCAAACUCCAUGUUGUGGUUGUUAGGUUUAUUAUUUAUCUAAUUAAAUGGAUGCAUUCAAAUUGGAAGCAUUCGUAAUUCUUUGCUUUUGGUAUAAUAGUUUUUGUUCUGUUUCAAUACAGAAAGCUUCCCAUGUUGCCCAUCUCGCCAAGGUUUAGUUUUAUUUAUUGUUUCAAUAUUGUUCUUUGCAUUUUUAGGUUGAAGAAACUGACACCAAUUGGCUAGCCGAUGUGAAAUUGUGCACGUCUCGCUAAUUAAAUUUUGCUUGGUCUUGCCGAAUUAUAUAUGGCACAACAAGGUGACCUCAAUGAGAAGACAGGACCAAAAAUAAUUAACUGGCCCAUUGCCCCUGCUCAUGCUCCAACCUCCAACAAUGGAUGAUCAUCAGUCUCAUCUCGAUAACUAAGAGGCAUUCAACCGGAUAUAAGUGCAUUCAACCGGAUAUAAGGGCAUUCAAUGGAACAAAUUUUGAUGUAAAGAGCCCCUUUUUUUCUACUGGUACAUUAUUGUUUCAUUUUAUUUUGUUGUUCAGGAACAUCUCAGUUGAGUAUCUAUAUGAAUGGUAGUUUCAAGAGGAAAACCUAUAAAAUACUGGCAAAUACGAUGGGCCAUUGAGGUUGUGUAACGGGUCAAAGUGGGUUGGCGUGAUGUUACAAUUUGGGUGACGUUUAAACCAUGUGGGGUUGAAGUGUUACUAAUUUAACCUUUUCAAUUUCAAUUAUGUAAUAUGCCAAUUUGUUUGUUUGAUUGAAAUUAUGUAUUAAUUGUUAUUAAUUAAUAUAAAUAACUUGCUUCUAA